CACGCGUGCUGCUGCUGCUGUGAGAGUUUAACGCGAAGGUCAUCAUCAUCAUCAUCAUCAUCAUCAUAAAGGCCUCCUACCUGUCUGCUGUGAUCAGGUGUGCAGAUGAUGAUGUCAUCAGCCGACGACCAGCUGUGUCUGAACAUCUGCAGCAACUCUUCCUCCUCCUCUUCCUCCAGGAGGAAGCCUCUGACUGCUCAGCAGAGAUGGGCCAGAAAGAAACAGACGGCAGAGAAGAGGAGGAUCGACUCCUCGGAGGAGGAGAAGAAGAAGAAGAGAGGCUCCUCCAAUCAGAGGC